rnacentral:rRNA from 1 species
UACAGAGGGUGCGAGCGUUAAUCGGAUUUACUGGGCGUAAAGGGCGCGUAGGCGGUGAGAUGUGUAUGGUGUGAAAGCCCCGGGCUUAACCUGGGAAGUGCAUCGUAAACUAUCUGACUGGGGUAUAUGAGAGGGUGGUGGAAUUUCCGGUGUAGCGGUGAAAUGCGUAGAGAUCGGAAGGAACGUCAAUGGCGAAGGCAGCCACCUGGCAUAAUACUGACGCUGAGGCGCGAAAGCGUGGGGAGCGAACAGG